rnacentral:rRNA from 1 species
AGUUGUUCUGCCCAUUGAAUUUUAAAGGCUGCAGUAUAUUAACUGUACAAAGGUAGCAAAAUAAAUAGUUUUUUAAUUGAAAACUUGAAUGAAAGAGUUGAUAAAAUAAAAAUUGUCUCAAAAAUUUAAUUUAAAUUAAAAGUAAAAAUGCUUUUAUAUUAUUAUUAGACGAUAAGACCCUAAGAAUUUUAUUAAAUAAUUUAUUUUAAUAAUUAAUUAAAAUGUAUUUAAUUUUAUUGGGAGGGUAAUUAAAUUAAACUUUAAUUUUAUAAAAUAUAGUAAAUAAAUUUAAUGAUUAUUAUAAUAAUUAUAAGAAAUAAUUACCUUAGGGAUAACAGCGUAAUAAUUUUGGAUAGAUCAUAUUGAUAAAAUUGUUUGCGACCUCGAUGUUGAAUUAAAAUAAAAUUUAAAUGGAGAAAUUUAAGUUUUUAGUCUGUUCGACUAUUAAAAUUUUAC